UAAGCCUUUCCUUUUGCAUCUUCAUGGCUUCUCCCCCUUUCCACUAUCUAAUGUAGCUUAACAGCAGAAGCAUAUAGUGCUCUGUGGUUGAGAGCACAUUUUUUCCCGAUCCGGGAUAUGUUGUGUCAUAACUCUUAUUUUCUAUGCAUUUUAAUCCUGUUUGUGUCACAAAGUUAAAGGGCUAGACGUUGAGGUUAUUGUUUCUCCAAGCGCGACUGCUUCUUAUUUCUUAUAAUUUAGUUACUUCAUGCUGUUUAUCAUUAACAUUAGCAUCUGAAGGGACGCCUCUAGAGGCGACGAAUUAUGUUUUCUGGCAGUUUGAAUAUUAGCAUUUCUUUAAAAAUAACUAAAUAAAUACAUCUCUGAACUGGGAGAUUACAUGGUGUAAAUAAUUCACUCAUCUUCAUUGGAGAAGUGCAAAUUGAUAGUGGGAAGACCUUCUGAAACCCAUUCUGACAGACUCAUCUAAAGUUGUGUUAAACUCUCCUGGUUUAUCUUGUACUUAUUUGGCUUCCUUUUCUGUCAUGAUAGAUUUGCAAGGCAACCCGACCAGUGGAAGUCGAGACAAGCUUCACAACAAUCUGCUCUGAAAGAAUUUUAUGCUACAUUUGGACCAAAGGAAACCAAAUCAUUUGAAAAGGAGAGCUUUCUUGCUGAUACUGUUUCCAAAUCAAAGCCAGGAAAGUUAAAAGACAUUAGGAAAGAAAUUGAGACAACUUUGGCUUCUGCCAAAACUUCAAAUACCCCCUUCUUGGCUCAUCAGGUUUCAAAAAAAGUGAAAAGGUCUAAAGACGAGAAGAAAAGGCAUAGGAAAGAUGGCGAGUCAGAAUCUAAAAGAAAGAAGAUCAAAGUUUAACUGUAAUGCUUUUAGGUUCUUUAUUCAAUUUUACAUUACUGUAUCUGAGCUCUCAGUUUUGGUUACUUUCUGUUGUUUGAUCAGAAAGGAUGGAACUUCUAUUGGAUGCCGAAAACACUUGAUUUAGUUUUUCAUGCAAUUUUUGUUCAUUCUAGUUAAAUUAUUCAUUGGUAAGUUUAAAUGGUUGGUUCAUAAAUGCACUGAUAUGAAGAACUUAAUAGUAUUCACAUUUAUAAAACUUUGGGAAAUACAUCUAGCAACAUAUUUCAUAGCUACCAAGGAACAAAAUUGGAUCCUGUAUUUGUGCUGCAAGUGACUAUCCUAACUGGAUAGUGGAAACUAACUUUGUACUUCCAAACUACAUUGAUAUUGAAUGAACGAAUUGCUUUGAAGGUGCUGAUCUUUGCUGAGGUGAUGCUUCUUUUAGUCAUCCUAUGGAGGUUUGUACCUGGUACAAGAAUGUGAUAUUUGAGAAAACUGCUUAUGGAUGUAACUGAUUAACACUUUUAGAUUCAGAAAUUACUUGUUUUGUAUAGGAUUCCAUCUGCUUGGAGGUAUUCUCCUAAAGCUUGAAUCAACUUUCUUGAAUGGUUUCUUCUGUUUUGUAUGCAGACCCUUGAGUGUUUGUGAUGUUGAAGUUUUUUGGGACGGAUGAUCUUUAUUGGAGAGGAACCGAGCUGCAUAUGCGGCAUUGGACUCUGAACUAAGAAUUAACAGAAGUGCUAGAACAAUAGCAGCUAGUAUUCUUGAAUGGCUCUUCAUAGUCUUGCAGUAAGCUGAGUUAAAGGAUGUUAAUGAUGUUUUUUUUUCUAUGUUUGUGGUGAUUUGGUAGCUUUGAAGCUGAGCUGAUGUGAUUUAUAUAUUAUGAUGUUUGAAUGUGUUGGAACAGUUGAAGGAUCCAAUGCUUAGUGGGAUCAUGUGAUGUUCCUUUGACUGUUCGGUGUUGGAACUCUGAUUUCCAGAUAAGUUGUUAGAAAGUUUCAGAGUGAUCAUGUGACCUGGCACGUGAUAAUAUUUUAUUUACUGGAAGAGGUGAUUAUUAUAUUGUCUUUAACUUUUGAUAUUUAAAGAUUUGAUUUCAUCCCUUACGAAUUGCUUUGAUCCUAUUUAAAGUUGUUUUAAAUAGUUUGGUGCUGGUUGCCCUUUCCUUUUAACUCAACUACUUUUUGUGCUACCAUUUUGUUGGGAUACUCACUCAACUCAUUCAAAUUUUCUAACUCAAAACUUUUAAAAUUCAUCUCUGUCUUGUUUUUUUUUUUUGGUGUUUCACUCUGAAACACAAUAUGGUUAGUGAGAACUCAUUUGCUUUUGAUAACAAUGUGAUAUGAUCAAAUAGAGUUCAUAUAUUAAUCGAUUGACAAUUUGUUGGGAAUCGAAACAUAAUUAUUAUGCUAGUAUUAUUUUUGUAAAUCUCCACUGUGUUUGGCACUGGGUGAUUGGUGCUCUUUAUUUCUAUCAGUUGUCUAAUUAUACGUCAGAGUAUUUGCAAGUCAAAAGAUGCUCUUAUAUUUUAUAUUCUGCAGUGUUGGAAAAUAAUGUUUAUAAAAGGAGGAAGCAGAGUUUUCACUUUUUGAAAUCGGUGUGCUCAGAUCCCCAUCCUCUUUUCCUUGAAGACAAUUGUCAUAUCAUCAUUUAACACUUUUCAUGACCCAAACACCCACCAGUUUUUGUGUCGUAUUAUCUUAUGUUUAAAAGUCCCUGACUUGAUUAAUUUGAAUUUGUAUUGAGCAAAGGUGGUCACCGUUUGGGGCUUUGGGCAUCGGAUUGAAUAUGGAAUUUUUUUAAUUUCCGGAUAAUAAAAAAAUGACAAUUCAAAUUCAAUCUAAAUAGGUUUGGAUGAGAUUGAAUUUUCUUAAGUUUGGUGUUAGAUUAAUUGAUUUGAAUAUUUUGGAAUUUCAAUUUUGACUAUUGAGCCUUUAAAGUAGACCAUAACAAUUAUCAAUCCUAAUUUAUCGAAUAAUUUACUCCUUACAAUGUGUAAUUUUUUAUGGUUAAUCAGAAAAAUUCAUGUCGUGUUAUUUCAUAUUAGAUGCAAUACAAUCGGCGGUGGGUUGACACCAUCACUUUUAUAGUCAUUACACGAUCUUAUAUGAAAGGAAGGGGGUAGCACUUUUUCUUUUCUUCUGGAAAUGCGUGUGAAAUGUGGAAAUUUAAAGACAAAAAGAAUGACCGACCUUAGUUGAAAAACAAGAACAAGAAAACUUAAAAGUUGAGAUGCUUCGUUGAUCAAUUCUAUAUUAGACACCACUAAGACCUUCCCUUUCCAACUAAUUAUUUACUAAUCAUAUAACCGUAUAUGCUAAUUUAAAGUUAAAGCUUUUUUCUUUCUUUCUUUCUUUUGUUAUAAAGAACACGUUUACUUUUGGAGACAUGGCAUUUAAGAUAGGAUAGUGUCAUAGUGAUGAAGAAACAUGACAAAUACAAGAACUUGAAAGACACGUUCACAAGCAAGUCAUCAUUUUUCAAUCGCGAUUAAUAAUACUCAUUAUGUUAUUAUUACGGAUAAUUAUCGUGGAAAAUAAUUAUAAAAAUAUUAUUUUGCGUCUCUCAUAAUCAUAACUGUUAUUAAUUGUGAGAAACUUGAUUUUUUGGAUCAUAAGUUAGUGGAUUCAAAAUUUGUAAAUCCAAAAGUAUAAGAUUUGAGUCCAUCAAUACGUGAGAAAAAAAAUAUAAAUUAUGUAAAGCACAGAAUAAGUUUCUUUCUACAUUUUCUAAUUGGAGUCUAUCCAUCCCUCUUUGCCUUGUCUUUAACUUAUUAAUUUGUUAUUUUCUUUGAAUUUAAAGAAGUGGAAGCUAGAUUUUUUUAACUUAAUACUUUUGACUUAUUAUUUUUGUUUAUUGGAUUCUAAAUAUAUCAUUUAUAUAUAUAUAUUAAAUAUUUACUUUUUACAAAUACAAUGUUAGAAUCAAAGUUAUUUAUAUGAACUCGUCACUUCAUUAUGUUCCAUCCAUGCCGAUUUUGAACUAUAAAAAGAGUCUAGACAUCUGUUUUUUUUCGGUAUUAAUUCCAUAAAUUAUUUUAAAAUUUUCGUGUAAAAAUUACCUUAAAAAUAGUAAUUUCUUAUUUUAUAAAUAAAAUACUCCAAAAGAUUAUAGUAUAUAAAUUUAUAAUUAAAAAGUUAUUUGGCCCCUUAGCCCAAUUAACAAUACCAAUAAUAUGGACGCGACAGUGCCACACGGAGAAGGAUAAGUCGGCGAAGCUACAAUUAAUAGGGGUAAAUUCGUCCAUCAAAGAUUAGGAGUAUAAGCAACACGUAGUGGUCAAUUUUUUUUUUAUUGAAUUGCAUUAUCGGACUCAGCUUCGGCUCGGGAGUCGGGUCAGUGUCCAUCAUCUGCAAGCCGAAAACCAAGAAAAGCUUCUCUUCAAUUAUUUUUCUUCCUCAACUCGCAGCCGUUUGAAGUAGAUCUUCAUCAGAUUCUGGAUAAUCUCAAUUCGCCCAAUUUAAUUUCCAAUUUCCGCAAGAUCUUCGGUAAUAUAUGAUCUUCUUCUUCUUUAUGUAUGUACAUGUUCUUGUGUCAUUUACUUCGUUAAUUUUGAUACGAAGACAAUGAAUUUCGAUCUGAUUACCUGGAUUGUUAUGCGGUUUGUUUUCUUGUUUGUAUGAUGCGUAUGUCUCUCGGCUAUUUGGUCUACGGUGUUGAUAAUCAAUAGUGUUUUAAUUUGAGAAUAUGUGCUUUAUGUUCGUUAGUAAUGUACUUAAUUUCUGUCAGUUCCGGUUUCUUGGAGAACUUAUUCGCUGAAUUGCGUGUUUUGGCUCUGAACUAUUUCCUCCUAUCUAGUCCUAGCAUUUUCAUCACUUGUUUUCCUUUGAAUAUUUGAUAGUUAUUAUUUUUUAGGUUAGAAAUUCGGGGAAAGAAAUAAAGAUGUGAUCAUAGAUGUUAGUAUAUCUGGUUUUUAUUAUUUUUCUAAGGUAGGCAAUAAAACAAGACCUAUUCCUAAUCAAAUGUGGACCAGAUAGAGUUUUAUCUUCUUAUAGAUGCAACUGCUUUCACUUUUUUGCUUUAAGAAAAAUUCUUUCAUUAGGUUGUCUAUAUAGUACUAGAAAUAUCUAAAUAACCAAAUGAAUGGAGUGUAGUUCUCAAGAUAUCUUGACGGGCAUUGGUCCAUGAAAGCGUCAUUUGAGGUAAAAGGUGAUGUCUUGUACGGCAUUGAACUUUUUCUAAUGUAACAGCCGUACGAGUGGAAAACAAUAGAUGUCAAACCUUCUACCAAGAAAGAUAUGCCAUGCUUGACGGUAUCCAUUCGCUAGUAUUAUCUGCUGGCUAUAUUCCAUAGUUUUGCCAAUGAUUUUGUACUCACAUUCAAUCCCCAUCCAUGAUUGGUCGUGGAUACUCUAAGAAAGAAAGCAAAAACUCUUCAUGCCUUUUUCUGAUAAUUUUUUUUUCACUCCUUUCCUCCACAUUGCUUGAGUAUGUAGAAUCUUUCUUGGUGUUUGAACCUUGUGUACUAUAGAGACCCAUCAAAAAGAAAAACUUUGUGUACUAUAGAGUAAGGACUUGAUACGUGUUGGUUCCUCUUAUGAAAAAAAUAGUAUAGGCUUUUCAGUUGAAGACUGGAUUCUUUACAAACAUCCUACUUUAUUCUAGCUAACUUGUUUUUCACUUGUAGAAAAAUAUUUUUUUCUCUAAUUCCAUUAUUCUUUGCCCUCAUUACUUUGGAAACCUGUCCUAUUCUUUGUAUGGCUGAAUAUAAUGACUUGUUGGAAAUAUUUGUCCAUUUGAUUACAAACUUACGGUUUAUACACAUUUCAAAGUCCAGGAAGAAUCCAAUCUGUUGCUGAAGAGAAGGGAGGAUUGGUAAAGAGGUGAUGCCCCAACAGAAGGGCUUGGUGAAGCAAAAUGAAUGUUAGGCCUAGUCAGAAGAAAGUGCAUUUGUUUGCUGGCUAGAAUUUUUAUUCAGUCACUAUUUCCAUCACACCCUAUUUUUCCAAUCUUAUAAUCUGGACUGAUGUUCGUCAGUGACCUGUAUUAUCUAUGAUAGUUGUCCUUCUGAAAUUCAAAUGCACAAUAUGGAUGCGUAUUGUAAAUGACCUGGCAAUUCUGAACAAUAUUUCUCUUAAUUCUUCUUUUCAACAGUAAACCCUCUCGUCACUCCUCAGGGUGUCCACAGUGUUUUCUCCCCUCCCCCAGUGACUAAUUCAUUUGAUUGAAAGUGGAGGGUUCUUGAUCAACAGUCUCCUGAGUCCUGUCCAAUAUUUACUGUUGAUUGAACGCAUCUUUUGUCAUCUACCUAAGCCUCGUCGGACCAAGUUAUUGGGUACUUGUGUGUAUGGGAGGUGGCAGGUACCCAAUGCAUUCAUCGAGAUGAGUAAAGUUGACCCGGACACUGCCUUUAUUAAGAAUAUGUGAAGUUAUUGGCCUGUUUAAGUUAGGAAAUAUGAGAGUCUAGAAGAAACCUUGUAAAAUAUAUUCUGAUGCUCCCUGUUUAUUGUUUUCUCUGAAAAUACAUGUUGCUCGCUUCUCUUUGUAAGCUUCCUCUAUCCUUCAAUUCUUGGCUCCACCACUGCUCCUAAUUGCUACUGGGAACAGACUUAGCUGGCGUUGCCCGCUUUUUGUUGCUGCAUUAUUUUUUUGUGGACUUAAUAGUCUUUCUUGGGCACUAUUCUACCUGGAAAUGUAAUGCCCUAUAUUCUCUAUGUUUAAUAAGUUUGGAAUUCUUGGGUUUGUUAAGCAUCUCAUAUGUUUACAGGUUGUUGUAUUACUUUGGUGGUCAAGAGGAUAAGGAAAGCUUUGCAGCACUCUCUCUUAGUUUCAAUAUAUUUUGAAGCUAAGACAUGGCAGAAAAAGCAUGUGUAAAGCGCCUUCAGAAGGAAUAUAGAGCACUUUGUAAAGUACGUAACCUUUUAGUUGCUGGUUAUUGCUCUACAUUUGAAGCAUUACCAGAUACUUUAUUUCAGUCUAUAGUUAUUUGCAACGCAUGUAAACUAACACUAGUAAUUGCUAAUUAUGCGAUGGUGGGUUCUUGCUUCCCUCCACACCAUUGCUAGGCCUGAAGAUAUGCAAGUUGUGUGCUUAAAUUCCUGUCAUAUCUUGGAGAAUGUUUUACUUCAUGGACUUACUCAUGUUUGAUGACGUCCUCCUAUGCCUUCUAUGGGCUAGACUAUUCUACACAGGGGCGGACCCACGUGGUCUUCAGGGGGUUCACCCGAACCUCCUCGGCAAAAAAUUACACUGUAUAUAUAAAGUAAAUUUUUUGUAUUUCUGUAAAUAUAUAUAUUUUGAACCCCCUCAUUAACAAAGAGAAGCUGAUGGUGCAGUGGUAAGUCCCCCUAAAAUUAAGUUGUGCGUCCGUGGUUCGAAUCCCAGUGAAAGUGUUUUAUUUUUAUUUUUUUCAGUUUUUUUUUUAAAUUUUCAGUUCUGUUUUUCAUGUUUUUUUAGUGUUGUUUUUUUACUUAAAAAAACGUGCUAAAAGUGGGGUUUUAAACCCAAAAAAAAUCAAGGUUCUCAUUUCUAAAGGCUUAUUUACACGUUUAUACUUUUAUUUUUCGAACCCCCGAAUGAAAAUCCUGGGUCCGCCACUGAUUCUACACCAUGCAAAUUUAAUUAUGUUGUACAACACUCUAAGGUAGUGAUGCAUUCUCCAUUGCAGGAACCUGUUUCCCAUGUUGUGGCCCGCCCUUCUCCGAAUGAUAUCCUUGAGUGGCGUGAGUCCUACUUCUGCUCAUGUUCUUGCAGUCAAUUAUGGAGUAAAAUUGUCUCUUAACAAAUGAACUUUUUUUCUUUUUUCUUUACAAGUAAAGUAAGUUUAUGAAAAUGUAGCAGUUUUUCUAAUUAAUAUAACUGACUAGACUUAUUUGCAGGGAGUGGCCCUCCUUUUGUUUUCCUAUUUUUCCUUUGGUUUCUCUUGAUCAAUUAAUUCGUCAUUUGUUUGCUUUGAUAUUACUAAUGGUCCUACUUCUAUCUAAACUGUGUGUCCAGAUUAUGUUUUGGAGGGGAGUGAAGGAACGCCAUUUGCAGGUCGCUACUUUUUUCUGAGUUCAGUAUUUAAAUUAUUGGAUUAGCUGAUAUUGUUGGGUGAUAGCACUCUCGUUCCUCCAACCCGUCUUCCUGUCAUUUUUGUAUAUUUGUUAUUCUUCUGGAAUUAACUUAUGCUCCUUUUGUUGUUGUUCAUGAAAUGAUACCGCUUCCUAUCAUUAGGUGGAUUUUAUUAUGGGAAGAUCAAGUUUCCUCCAGAAUAUCCAUUUAAACCUCCAGGGAUCAGGUAGUCUAACUUCAGAUGAGUUUGAAAUUCCCUUGCUUGUUUCAACUCUCCAACCUAGGUUGUCUCCAUGCUUUUGAGGGUUUUGUUCCUGUUGAUUUUUACAGCACAUAUGUUUUCUUUUUCUGUAGUAUGACUACUCCAAACGGAAGAUUUAUGACGCAAAAGAAAAUCUGCUUAUCUAUGAGUGACUGUAAGUGCUUUUAGAAUUGCCUAAUUGUCACAGUUUUCUGUUGCUUUGUGAUGAUCUUUGUCUGUUCUUAACCUUUGUUGCCUUAUUUCUUCACAGUCCAUCCAGAGAGCUGGAAUCCAAUGUGGUCUGUGUCAAGGUAAUGAGUUGCAAACAAUAAAUAAUGCUUAUUUGUCUGGCAAUACUUUCUUUAGUGCCUGUUUGGUAACCAAAAAACCUUGUCUGGUUUUGUUUUUGUAAUGACUAGGAAAAUCAAAUCAUUGUUGCAAUUUUUUUUUAAAAAAGAGUUUAUGUUUUCGUUUCUUCCAUGACAAGGAAAUAUAUAUCACUCUUUCCACUUUUAAAAGCAAACAUUAUUUCUUAACGAAGAGGUUAUAUGUGUUUUCACUUAUGAAAUUUUUUGUUUUCAGGACCACUCCUCUGUAUCUCCCUGCCACCUGAGACCCACCUCACUGCACUCCAGACUCCCCCCCCCCCCCCCCCCCCNNNNNNNNNNNNNNNNNNNNNNNNNNNNNNNNNNNNNNNNNNNNNNNNNNNNNNNNNNNNNNNNNNNNNNNNNNNNNNNNNNNNNNNNNNNNNNNNNNNNNNNNNNNNNNNNNNNNNNNNNNNNNNNNNNNNNNNNNNNNNNNNNNNNNNNNNNNNNNNNNNNNNNNNNNNNNNNNNNNNNNNNNNNNNNNNNNNNNNNNNNNNNNNNNNNNNNNNNNNNNNNNNNNNNNNNNNNNNNNNNNNNNNNNNNNNNNNNNNNNNNNNNNNNNNNNNNNNNNNNNNNNNNNNNNNNNNNNNNNNNNNNNNNNNNNNNNNNNNNNNNNNNNNNNNNNNNNNNNNNNNNNNNNNNNNNNNNNNNNNNNNNNNNNNNNNNNNNNNNNNNNNNNNNNNNNNNNNNNNNNNNNNNNNNNNNNNNNNNNNNNNNNNNNNNNNNNNNNNNNNNNNNNNNNNNNNNNNNNNNNNNNNNNNNNNNNNNNNNNNNNNNNNNNNNNNNNNNNNNNNNNNNNNNNNNNNNNNNNNNNNNNNNNNNNNNNNNNNNNNNNNNNNNNNNNNNNNNACCCCACAAACAGAUGCCCUAUCCCCAGGCUGCCAGUCCCUCUCUUUUGCUCCACUUUAGCUUAAACCUGUGCCCUGUCUCCCUCCUUUUUUAAGUCCCAUUCACUCAUUCCAUGUAAAUUUGCUUGAAUUAAUUCGUUUGCCUACCAAUUUUCUUCUCUUUCAACGACAAAGGCAAACUACUCUCAAUUCCAAGUUGGAGUCAAUGAUAUGAAUCUCAAACACCAUCUGCUCAGUUGCACUCCAUGUGUGUGUACUUUGUUAUAAAUAUUUUAUUAUUGUUUUUUUUGUUUAACAUGUUUCUGAUUUCUUGUUGAAACAAAUUAGCAAAAACAUGUCUAUUUAUUCUUACAGCUAAAAUGAGAUGUUUUUUUCUUCUUUGCUCGGGCUAACUUUUCCCUGUUCUGCAUGCAGCAUACUAACAGGGCUGCUCUCAUUUAUGGUAAAGUUCAUUCUACUAAUGCAGCUUAUAAUGACUCCUGGUGUUCCCAUUUCAUCUGCUUAUGUAUUUUCAGAUCAUGCUUUAUUUACUUUGUGCUUUUCCUUUUAUGAAAAUGUUAUUUCUUUUGCAUGUGUCUGGACAAUUGAGUUCUAUCUGUCUCUGUGCACGGAAGCCCUGGUAGAGGUUGAGGACAAUCUGAAGUCAUCCCAUCACAUUAAAGAUCAUUUGAGCUAUAGCAUAAAAGCUACCUCUGAGUGGUAUAGGAGAAAAGGAGGGAGUCUGGUAGUUGGUGAAGUUUCCCCAUACUUUCCCUUUGUGGCUCUACGUCUGCCUACCAAGAAAAGUAUUCUAAACUUCCAUGUUCUAUCACCUCUAUGAUGAUGUCCUCUGCCAGUUUAUAUGAUCUUCUCCCUCAAAUUAUCUAAUAUUUCCAUCUAGCCUUACUGUCCAAAAAAUGCACAAAGGGACUGUUCUCCAAACUUCUCUAUGCUUCUUGUCUAUCUUUUGACCCUUCCAUCUGAUGGUUGCUUUACUCAGACCAGCUGGCAUGAACACCAAAAAUAUUCAGAAACAUGAACCAAUUCUCCGAUUUCUAUCUGCAGUUAUGAAUAGGUGGUUUACUGAUAAGUUGAUUGCUUGCUCAGAUAACCUUUUCUUCAUUUGUUGAAUCAUUUCUUUUUGCAAAGUAUGUUGGUGUUUGAACAUGCAUUGCAUAAUACAGUUGCUGUCUCGCGUUCUAACUAUCUAUUACUUGCAGAUGGACAAUAGUCCUACCACAGGCAGUGUAUCAACAACAGUUGGUGAGAAGGAGAAGCUUGCAAAGGCAUCCUUGGCUUUUAAUUGUAAAAAGUGAGUUGACUGCGAGUUCCUUGCUGUUGUGUUGUAUUUGUAUAAUUGCCUCGAGCUUUUGUCUCCACUGUUCAAGAUCUCCUGCAUGAGAGAUGGAUAUGCUAUUUUACUGUGUGUAUUUUCCUUUAUUACAUUUUUAUUAGGUAGGAGGGUAACUUACUCUCUAUUUUUUUUUUAUGAUAGCCCAACCUUUAGGAAAUUGUUUCCCGAGUAUGUGGAGAAGUAUGAACAGCAGCAGCUUCCGUCGCAGCCUGUUCCAGAGCAGGUAUCAUCCAUGCCAGCUGGAGCAGAAAAGUCUAGACCCUUGUUGGAAGAGCAUGACAAUUCCACGAAGGAUGAAGUGAACAGAGUGAAGCCUCUAAAAGACGUCAAAAACCAACAGAGGAAAUCCGUCCCAACUUGGUUGUUGCUGUUGCUAGUUUCAAUUUUUGGUGUUGUAAUGGCCCUGCCUCUGCUUCAGCUUUGAUGACUGGAAUCUUGUUUUGUGCACUACGGUGAAGAACAGACCACCCCCAUAUCACAUGGAUACGUAGUCAUCCCCGCUCCUGGUUCCUGUUAUUUCACCAAAUAUUUUAGGUUUUUGAUUUACCUAGGGGGAAUGUAUAGGCAUGACUCUUAAGUGGAGAUCUAACUAAUCUCUUAAUCUAGCUAAUGGGCUUCUCUUUCCUAUUGUGCACGUCAGUGGAAAGAUAACAUAAUGUGCUUUUAUUGUGAAGGGCUCAGAGUUGCAGGAGCUAAUCCUUUCCUUCUGCUUUGUCUGUUUAUAGUUAGCAAAUGUGGGUUUAUUCUUCUUCGUUAGUCUUUUUCCUAUUUUUUUCAGGGAGGGGAUGAGGUAUAUAUAAUAUAUAGACAGACAUGUGUAGUUAUAGGCUUGACAAGUGAAGUUGAAAGGUCUAGUAAAAGUAUAAAGUCUAUCGUUCUUUCUGGUAAAAUUAUAUCUAGUAAGAAAAUGUGGCAUAAAAAGGCAACCUGUCAUUACUAAUGCUUUCCGUGGUGUUGCUGUUCACGUGUUUGAUGAGCUAUUCCGUAUAGCUGACUAAACCAACUAUUUCUCACUCGUGCCUGGUUUAUACUUGUUCACUAAAAUCUGAGGUUUUUCUUUAUGGGAAACGGAGACUUAUCAAUCAAUCAACUAAAUUUGAAUGGUAGAUCAAUGAAAAGAAUAAUCAAUUUUAUGUAAAGAGAGUUGAAAAUCCAAUAUAGUCUAAGCCAUGCUUGAAAGUUGAAACCCAUGACUGCUGGCAUGAUGAUGUUAACCCCUCUUUUUCACGUUGCCUUGUCGUCCACUAGGUAAUAAUAAAACCUUUCGCCUAAAACUCCACUCCAAAAAUUGCGCCGUAAAAUUUCACAUCUUAAUACAAUCCAUUUUAUAUUUAUUACUUACCUACUCUAUAGUUUAUACAGUGGUGAAAUCGUACGUUAACAAAAAGGUUGCCUUUAUUCCCUGCUUUAAUUACUCUCUGAGAUAUGAUUACGUCUCUCUCACUCUUGUUACCAACAUUAAUUUCUUCAUGAAUUCAAAUCCUUCACCUCACUCCAGAAAAACUCAAGAGUCAACUGCUACAGCACUUUGUUUUGAAGAAACUCUUUUCCUUAGGUAUGAAAUUGUAAAAAAGAAAAAAAAAUCCAUACUCAUCGAUUUUUCUUUUAUAAAUUACUGAGUGUUAUUUAGGUCUCUGUAAUGAUGGUGACAGUGUGAUCCAUUUCAACCAAUAAAAACAGUUGCUUAUGCUGAUCCUUCCUUUCAUUGUUAAGCAUUGGUAAAUAUAGCUUUCCUUAACUAAUCCAAUUUAUCCAACCACCAGUUUUUUCAUACAUAACUCUCAUGGGAUAUAGAAAAGCCUUAGCUGGCCUUUCCAUCUUUAUUUAAAAAAAGUACCUUUUCUCAUUUGGAAUCUACUAUUAUUAGGGGAGCCCUCAUACUUUCUGCAAUGAACAAAAUAUAUAGGCAUGAUUUGUAAGACUUGAUGAAAAUUUUCACUUCACAUGGCUCAAACUUGAACCUGCAUUUUGAAAUUCCAGGGAGCAAAGUAUGAACAAGUUUCCCAUAUACCCAAAAUAUGAAGGUGGGGACUAUUGUGGCUACGAGUUUGAUCCUCACACAGACUUUACGGAUGUAAGUCAAUUGUUUUUUUUUUGCCUUAUAUCUUCAACUCAUAUAAAGUUUUUAUCUUUUAUUCAGUGGUGGAGGCAUAGUUUCCAAUAAGUGAUUCAACAUUUUUUUACUUUAUACACCCUAAAAAGAAAAGGAAUUAACCUUGGUAUAUACAAUGUACCUGUCUGCCGUGCUUUGUUUACAACAUCACUACAGUUGUGUAUUAUUAUGUAUUUAUAUGAUAGUAUAGGUGACUUUUAGAGAUUUGAAUAUGUUGUUACUGUAGUUAGCUUAUUCUCUUUGUGUAUUAAUAUCAUUGUAUUCUUUGAGUAAUGAGAUAAGUUACUCCCCACUUUGUCUAUACAUGAUAUCAGAGUCAUAUCUCUAUCCCCAUUUUGAUUUCCGAUCCAUGGUCCAGUUGGGUUGAGUCAGGCUCAAGUGGGUAUUAAAUGUUGAACCUUUAAUUUUUUGAAAGUGCUGUAGAUUUAGUGGUAAGACACUCAAUAGUUUAUAUUCUGAAUCCGUUUCUCAUUACCAGCUAGAUGACAUUUGAUGAUUUAUGACUUGCGCAUUUUACAGUUCUUGUCAGAAGCGAGAAAGCAUGUAUCUGAAGGGAAAUUCAGUGCUACACCUCCACGUUCUGUGGAACUGAGAAACAACAAUUUUGGAAAUGAUGUUAAGAAAACUUGCAAGAAGUCAUGGAAAAGCUCUCUGUUUUCAUGGCUGAGGACUGAUAAGAAGAAGAAUGAGGGGAGCAGAGAAACUUCAAAAGGCUCUACCAUUAACAAGCUGAAGCGUGGAUGUGUCUCUGGUCCAUUGCCGGGGAUCAGCGGGCCAGGUACUAUAGCUGGAAGGCCCAAUAAGCCUUUGUCUGGGCCCUUAACAUAUCUGUUCAGUCCAAUGAACAGAGUGGACAAUGAAAUACCUUAUCUCUGUCUUCACAAGGUUAAGAAUAGUACUCCUGAUGUUCAAUCUUAUGGACCUGUUUAUCUGGUAACUUAAGAUUGCAAAAGGGUAGGUUUAAUUUAGCAGAGACUACAUGUAUGUGUCAUGAAUCUAUGUGUUCGGUGAAUGCAAACAAAUAUCAUAUGCAAAAAAGAAUUUGCAUUUGUUGCAAGGAACAGGUUCUUUUUUUUUCAUUAUCACAUGCUAGUCUAGGAAUAGGUUCUGAAUUCACCCAUGAUUUUGGAGUUUAGAAUUUGAAUAGCAUCAACAUCAACAUUUUGUUUGACGAAUUUCAGGAAAAUCAGACACACUCAUAAUGCUUCAUUUUUACUGCAGCUAUAUCAUAAACAACAUGUUUACUGCAAACUACUCUCAAAUUUCAACCAACUAUUGUCCAAACGCCUGCAUGAUAUUUCGAGUAAGCUGUAAUAUAGAUUUACAAUGAAUUGUAGAAGCCAUACAACAAAUGAACACUCACAUUAAUAACAAAAAAAUUCCUAAUACUCUCCUGUAAGAGAAGAUAGAUUCCCCUCAAUUCUCAAACAGAGAAGCCCCUUGGCCCUAGCAAUUUGUUUUACACAUAUACAAUACAUAGACAUCUAAAGAUUGCACACAACUUCUCAUCUGCAUCAAGAAUCAAUCAAUUAACUUUAACCUAGUAAAUUAUAUAGUUCCUAAGAUUCCACUCCUCUC
rnacentral:lncRNA from 1 species